GACGAACGCUGGCGGCGUGCUUAACACAUGCAAGUCGAACGGCAGCGCCCUGCUUUUUUGGUGUUCUCGAGUGGCGAACGGGUGAGUAACACGUGAGUAACCUGCCCUUCACUUUGGUAGAACUUCAGGAAACUGGGGCUACUCUCGUAUAGGAUCUCCUGCUCCAUGGUGGGGGUUGGAUAUUUUCGGCGGUUGGGGCUGGACUCGCGGCUGAUCAGCUUGUUGGUGGGGUAGUUGCUUACCAAGGCUUUGACGGGUAGCCGGCAUGAGAGGGUGACCGGGCACAUUGGGACUGAGAUACGGACCAGAGUGGUACAGGAGACAGCAGUGGGGAAUAUUACACAACGGGAGGAAGCCUGAUGCAGAAACGCUGGGUGUGGGAAGACGGCCUUCGGGUUGUAAAAAGCUUUAGCCUGUGACGAAGCGUGAGUGACGGUAAUGGGUAAAGAAGCACCGGCUAACUACGUG
rnacentral:rRNA from 1 species